GUGCUCACUUCAGCAGCACAUAUACUAAAAUUGGAACAAUCCAGAGAAGAUUAGUAUGACCCCUGCAUAAGAAAUGAGUAUGAAAUUCUGCAGAGCACUUUGAGCUU
ensembl:snRNA U6 U6 spliceosomal RNA